rnacentral:rRNA from 1 species
GUAGGGAAUAUUGCGCAAUGGGGGAAACCCUGACGCAGCGACGCCGCGUGAGUGAUGAAGGCCUUCGGGUCGUAAAGCUCUGUUGCAGGGGAAUAAAAAAAUGAAGGUACCCUGUGAGGAAGGAUCGGCUAACUUCGUGCCAGCAGCCGCGGUAAGACGAGGGAUCCUAGCGUUGCUCGGAAUCAUUGGGCGUAAAGAGGGCGUAGGUGGCUUGGUAAGUCAGGUGUGAAAGCCCAGGGCUCAACCCUGGAAGUGCAUUUGAUACUGCUGAGCUUGAGUGUCGGAGAGGUCACCGGAAUACCUGGUGUAGUGGUGAAAUACGUAGAUAUCAGGUGGAACACCGGAGGCGAAGGCGGGUAACUGGACGAACACUGACACUGAGGCCCGAAAGCGUGGGGAUCAAACAGGAUUAGAAACCCGUGUAGUCC